UGAAAGCUGGUAUGAAAGGUUGGAUGAGAAAAUUACUGUCUCUAUCUAAAUUUUUUAGAAUUUUAUUUUUAAGUAAAAAAGCUUAAAUUUAAAUAGAAGACGAGAAGACCCUAUAGAGUUUUAUAGAUUUUAAUUUAGAGACUUUUUGGUAUUAAUAAAUUUCUAAAUUAAUAUGUAUUUAGUUGGGGUGAUUGAAAAAUUAAAAAAACUUUUUUUAUGAAAAAUAACAUUUAUUUAUGAUAAAAUGAUCCUUAUUUAAAGAUUAAAAGAAAAAAUUACCUUAGGGAUAACAGCGUAAUUUUUUUAAAGAGUUCAAAUCGAAAAAAAAGAUUGCGACCUCGAUGUUGGAUUAAAAUAAAAUUUUGGUGUAGGGGCUAAAGUAUUUGGGUCUGUUCGACCCUUAAAAUUUUACAUGAUCUGAGUUUAAACCGGUGU
rnacentral:rRNA from 1 species